UACGAAGGGGGCUAGCGUUGUUCGGAAUUACUGGGCGUAAAGCGCACGUAGGCGGGUUUGUAAGUAGGGGGUGAAAUCCCAGGGCUCAACCCUGGAACUGCCUUCUAAACUGCAAGCCUGGAGGUCAGGAGAGGCGAGUGGAAUACCGAGUGUAGAGGUGAAAUUCGUAGAUAUUCGGUGGAACACCAGUGGCGAAGGCGACUCGCUGGACUGAUACUGACGCUGAGGUGCGAAAAGCGUGGGGAGCAAACAGG
rnacentral:rRNA from 1 species